CCUACGGGAGGCAGCAGUGGGGAAUAUUGCACAAUGGGCGAAACCCUGAUGCAGCGACGCCGCGUGAGUGAAGAAGUAUUUCGGUAUGUAAAGCUCUAUCAGUCGGGAAGAAAAUGACGGUACCUGUUUAAGAAGCCCCGUCUAACUACGUGCCAGCAGCCGCGGUCAUACGUAGGGGGCAAGCGUUAUCCGGAUUUACUGGGUGUAAAGGGAGCGUAGACGGCAGAACAAGUCUGGAGUGAAAUGCCGGGGCUUAACCCCGGAAGUGCUUUGGAAACUGUGCAGCUUGAGUGCAGAAGAGGAGAGUGGAACUCGAUGUGUAGCGGGGAAAUGCGUAGAUAUAUGGAAGAACACCAGUGGCGAAGGCGGCCCUCUGGUCUGUAACUGACGCUGAGGUUCGAAAGCGUGGGUAGCAAACAGGAUUAGAUACCCGAGUAGUC
rnacentral:rRNA from 1 species